rnacentral:rRNA from 1 species
GUGUCAGCAGCCGCGGUAACACGUAGGGGGCGAGCGUUGUCCGGAAUUACUGGGCGUAAAGGGCGUGUAGGCGGCUGAUUAAGUCAGUUGUAAAAGGCUGCGGCUCAACCGCAGGAAUGCAAUUGAAACUGAUCAGCUUGAGGGCAAGAGAGGGAAGCGGAAUUCCUAGUGUAGCGGUGAAAUGCGUAGAUAUUAGGAGGAACACCAGUGGCGAAGGCGGCUUUCUGGCUUGUCCCUGACGCUGAGGCGCGAAAGCGUGGGGAGCAAACAGGAUUAGAUACCCUGGUAGUCCACGCUGUAAACGAUGGGUACUAGGUGUAGGGGGUGUUGAUACUCUCUGUGCCGCAGCAAACGCAUUAAGUACCCCGCCUGGGGAGUACGGCCGCAAGGCUGAAACUCAAAGAAAUUGACGG